rnacentral:hammerhead_ribozyme from 1 species
AUCCAGCCGAUGUGUCCCAAAUAGGACGAAACGCGCGUCCUGGCU